AUAUAUACAUAUACAUACACACACACAUAUAUAUAUAUAUAUAUAUAUGUAUGUAUAUGUAUAUAU